rnacentral:lncRNA from 1 species
AAUAUGAGUGAACACGAAUGGAUUUAAGCAAAACAUGCACGUUUAUUUCAUUAUUAUUAUCAUCUAAAAACCAGACAAGUUUUACAAAUGAACCACAAUUAACAAGCAAGAAAAUAUUACAAAUGAGACAUGAUUGAAUCAAUAUGAUAUUUCUAGCCUUGAUACUCCUCUGAAGAAGCAACUGAAUCUGAGUAAUCUUCA